rnacentral:lncRNA from 10 species
GAAAAGCAUAAAAGCAUCAGCAAAGCCUGGACUCUGCUUUUCCUGCUCUAACAUGCCAUCAAAUAGAGACAGAGCACUCGACUGAUGUAGGCAUUCUGUUGUUCGUAUUUGCCGAGUUCAGCUAAGAAUGUCUGAGAUCAACAGGUGGCCUUGCUAAUGGAACAGAUUCACUCAUUGUUUGUGUGUUUAAUGAAUCAUUGAGUUACUGAUCAACAGUGAGCAAUGGAAGCUGUUCAAACAGAAAGGAAGCCCAGCCGUGAGGUGGUGCUGCCAACACACUCCUUUGAAGCUCGGCUGGCCCCUGUGGGGAGUGCAGGAGGCUGGGGGUCUACUCCCUACGGUUCCCAGAGAAAUGGUAGCAAGAAGACGGUGUUAUUUCUAAUUGGAUGAUGAAAGUCAGCCUAGGGGACAGAGACCAAAGGGCCAUACGUAAGAAGAGGAGGAAGUGAAAACAUCUGAAUCAAAGGUUGAGGUAAAACUGAGAGACAGUGUUUGCAGUGAACCAUGCAGUAACCUUCAUCUUGCCCCCUGGUCUUCAGGAAACAAGCAAGUGGGGAAGGACCGAAAGAGUGAUUUCAGAACGAAGGUCUGAGUGACUAUACACAGAUCCACAUUGUAAGAGGGAGACCAGCACCUUACUGUGAGGACAGCUGUGUUGCUCUGGUUCUGCAGAUUCUGGGCUUCUAGAUCUGAAUAAAGGGUACUAAAUUUCCAAAUGAUCAGACGUGAAGUUUCAUGGCCCAUAAUGGCUACACAUUUGAAGACUCAAGCAAAUAAAUUAGAAAUAAAGCCUACCAGCAAACCAAAAGAUAAUUACAUGUAAAAGCAAGUCUCCUUGAUUUCUGAUACUUGCACUUAUGAGAAUGAGAAAACAACGAUAGCACAGAGAGAUGGUGGACAUGGAGGACAGGUCCUGUAGGCUCACUUCAUGGGCUUUUUCAUACCCUGACCACUUUCCACGCUGGAUUCAUUUUACUGUAGUGAAACAAUUGGCUGUAGAUAAUGUUAAAAGAUAGGACUUUGGUAACAGGAGAAUUCAUGGAUUCUUGAAAUUCCUGAAUGGAACUGGCUCUCCAGAAGCUACUUGCAGCUCAAAAGAGAAAGAGAGAGAGAAAGCAAGCCAGAGAAACAUUUGAGGUCAUAUAACACUUUGUCUCCAAUGUUCUCAAGGCCUCCCUCUGUGCACAGACCUCACUUUGAAAUUACCACCUGUCACAGGCCUAGCAAAUCCCCUCACCAGAGACCAUGUCUAAUUCUUUGUUUUAAAGGGCACUCGAUGGUUUUCUCCAGAGAAGUCAUCAUCAUCAGUGGCAGCAACAUCCUACUUUAUUUACACAGCUUAGCAUAGGACCAUCCCCACAAUAUAACAAGAAAGAUUUGACCCUGUGGGCUUUUUCCUGUUCUAAAUUUUCUCCUUUUGCUUGGACAAAAGGUCCAUCAUUUCUGAGAAAAAAAAAGGGAGGAUGGGGCUGGGUAAGGAGACUGCCACAGUAACAGCGUAAUGCUAUUAGUCUGAAUUCUCCCAUGACGGAGCCCUCGCUGGGAAAGACAAUUACAGGCAAAAGGGUGAUAACCUCACGAGGCAAUAACCUCCUGAGAGAUCCUGUGCCACAUGUACAGGUUAUUAAUUUCAGGGAAGGAGCCAAACUUCAGGGGCCCUCUCAGAACCGACUCUUUCAAGGUUUGCCCAUCUCUAAUGAGCUGGGUCUUUUUUGCGAUUGUCUAACCACACGAUUUCCUUAAUUCUUAGCUGGUUGCAUAAUGGCAAAGAUAAAUGUGGCUUUUUCCAGCUGCUUCUAAAAUAGGUUCAAGGUUGAAUUAAUAUGAAUGGAAAUACUUUCUGUUCAUGUAAAGGGUUGGAAGAAACCGUAUGUGUGGGAUUUGCUGAUACCUGCUAAAAUGUACACUGUGUGUCCUACAUGGAGGACACAAGACGGGCAGAGGUGGAAUAAUGACUUAUAGGAGCCCCAAAGUCCUAAGACGGUGAAAUUCCACCAAAUUUAUUCCAUUUCAGCAGGAGCUAGAAUAUUCCAAAAUUCAAAAAAAUGGACUUAGUUAUAAAGGAAUCUUUUCAGAAGUCUUGACUCUCAUCACAUACUCAAUGUUAAUUACCAUUUGUGUGUAGAACGGUGUGAAUUAAAACUAAAGAAACAAACAAAAAACUUGCCUUGUUAUUCUGCCAAAGGACCCCAUAAUCUAAUGAGGGAGAAGUGGCACCUGCAGACCAAAGAACACACAAGAUUUCGAAGGUGGUUAUUCCAAGUGAAAACACACAACUGAAAAAGUCCAUGAGGACUGAGUGGAAAUUGACAAGAACAAGGGGAGUUCAUCAGGAACAACUUUUCCAGGAAAACUUGAGGUUCAGAUUUGAGAGGAUAAUAUGGCUGGAUGAAUAGGAGAAAAUAAGCUACUCCAGAGGAAAUGAAGGAAGUUAAGACAUGGAAUCACAAUCCAUUUCACCUCUUUGUUCUUUUCUUUUAACCUUAACUGCAACCUUCCCCAUAGUAAGCAGAGGAAGAGUAGAUAUUGUUUCUGUGGUUAAGUUACAGAAAGUGUGUUGCUUGCUAGGUACUGCAAAGUAUUUUUCUGUUAGUGACAAGCAAAUCAUAUCAAAUUGUUCAAACUCAAUUUCAACUCUUAUAAGAGGAUAGACAUGGGUUUUGAGGAAAUGGUUAUCAUUUGCCUUGUUAUUACCUCAUCUUUGAGCCCCAACAUGUGCCUUUACUACUUAUCCCAGUGAUUCUUUCAAAAAAUUAUUUAAUAAAUCAAAAUAUUCCAUAAGUCAAAAUAUCUUCAGGUUGCGGAUUUACCUUUGACUUUCAUCUUAACCAAUUGUUUAAAAUUCCCCCAUUCUCCUCUCAUCUAUUGUGUAUAAAUUCAGAUUAAAAUGUAGUUAAAUUCAUUAAUGCUCAUUAUUUAUGUGUCUAAGACUGAUACUAAUAAUGACAACCAUGUAUUCGACACUUUCCAAACUGCAGGCCGUAGGCUCAGUCCUUUGUUUUGUUAGUUUAUUUAAUCCUUAUAACAAGACUAACCAGUGCUUCCAAAAUCCCAAUGGAUAUUAAUCUUUGGGAAUUGAAAACAAAAAAAAUUAGAAUCCCCAGAAAAUCUUAGAAAUUUCUGAAAUCAUAAGUUAUUCUGUAUUUUACUAGUAUUUACCAAGAGAGAAGUAAUAUUUAAUAUUUUAGUUGUUUAGCUUUUUUUGGUUUAGUGGGGUUUUUUUUGUGGGUUGGUGGGAUUGUUUUGUUUUGUUGGCUUGUUUUUAUUUUUUAAUAUUUUAUAGUAUUUACAAAGAUGUGGUUUAUAGUUAAUAUUCAAAAAUUAGAAAAUGCCUGCAAAAAUUAUGAGAUAAUGCUAACAAACCUAACAUUUGGACUCCCUAGCAAGAUUAACAACACUACACGAACUGAUAUGUCAAAAUUGCUAAUUUAAGGACUUAUUUUCUUCCAAAUGUGUUAUUUCUUGAAACACCGUUCAUAGGAUUUGUAUAAAGUAUACGAUGCAUAUGAACUUAUAGACAUUUAUUUUAUUUAUAAGAAUGACUCACCCUUAGUCACAGAGAAGAUCACAAACAAGCUCUUAUAACACGGUUAGUUGGUUUUCUAUUACUACAUAACAAAUUACCACAAAUUUAGCAGCUUUAAACAACACAAACAUAUUAUUUCAUGUUUCUGUAGGUCAAGAUCCACAGGGCCAAAAUCUAAAAGUGUCAGCUGAGACUGCAGUUCUCACUGGGAGCUUGGGGUCCUCUCCAAGUUCACUGGAUGCUGGAAGAAUUCAUUUCCUCGAGGCUGCAGGACUUAGAUCCACAUUUUCCUGCUAGCUGCUGGCUGGGAACCACUCUCAGCAACCAAAGGCUGUCCACAGUUUCUUGUCAUGUGGUCCCAUCAGGCAGUUCACACUCGAUAUUUUUCUUUCUUCCAGGCCAGCUGGAGUAUGGCUCUCCGCCUUCCUUUCCAGCACCAGUCAGAAAAAACUCAGGUUUUAAAGGGCUCAGGUGAUAGGUCAGGCCCACCUACCUAAUCUCCCUGUCUUUAGGUAAACUGAUUUGAUUCUUUAAUUGUAUCUCCAAAAUCCCUUUACAGCAGUACUUUUACUGAAUAAGGAAAAGAAGGUGUGUAUUGGCGCUGUGGCUCACGUCUGUAAUGCCAGCACUUUGGGAGGCCCAGGCAGGUGGAUCACUUUGAGCUCAGGAGUUCAAGACCAGCCUGAGCAACACUGUGAAACCCUGGCUCUACUAAAAGUACAAAAAUUAGCAGGGCAUGGUAGGGCGCCUGUAAUCCCAGCUACUCAGCAGGCUGAGGCUGGAGAAUGGCACGAUCCCAGGAGACAGAGGUUGCAGUGAGCUGAGAUCGUGCCACUGCACUCCAGCCUGGGCGACAGAGAGAGAAUCUGUCUCAAACGAACGAACAAACAAACAAACAAACAGAAGGUGUGUGUACACCAGAAGCAUGGAAAUUUGAGGCUGUCUUAAAAUUUUGCCUGCCACACAUAACAAUAGCCAUCAGCCACA